UUUGUUAUUUGUAUAUUUAUUCAAAAUAAUAUCUAAUCAGACGCGUAAAAAUUUGAAAUAAAGAUUAUUUGUGGUUAACCUUCCGUGAGAAAACUCGCCCACACCUGAACUCUCCCAAUACACUCAAUUGCAACAUGGAAUGAUGAGAGAUCCAGAAGCAAACGGCCACAAAUGUGACUGUCUCACGGAAGCAACAUGGAAAAUAGUACUCGGAAUGGUUGAUAGUAGUAGAUUGACAUACUUGCGCAUGUAGUCUAUAAUACUAGUUAAUGAUCCUUCCGCAGGUUCACCUACGGAAA
rnacentral:misc_RNA from 1 species